CUUACCUUAAUUUGUUACAUCAAGCAAGUAAAACCUCCUGAUUAGAUUGCGUUAAAACAUAGAACUAUGGCUUCUCAGACCAAAGUGGUGAUGCUUCUUAUUCUCGCCACAGCAGGAGCAGCUUUGGGUAAGAAUCUUAACUCUAUUAAGGAUAUUAGGAUAUAA